rnacentral:rRNA from 1 species
GAUGAACGCUAGCUACAGGCUUAACACAUGCAAGUCGAGGGGCAGCAUGGUCUUAGCUUGCUAAGGCCGAUGGCGACCGGCGCACGGGUGAGUAACACGUAUCCAACCUGCCGUCUACUCUUGGACAGCCUUCUGAAAGGAAGAUUAAUACAAGAUGGCAUCAUGAGUCCACAUGUUCACAUGAUUAAAGGUAUUCCGGUAGACGAUGGGGAUGCGUUCCAUUAGAUAGUAGGCGGGGUAACGGCCCACCUAGUCUUCGAUGGAUAGGGGUUCUGAGAGGAAGGUCCCCCACAUUGGAACUGAGACACGGUCCAAACUCCUACGGGAGGCAGCAGUGAGGAAUAUUGGUCAAUGGGCGAGAGCCUGAACCAGCCAAGUAGCGUGAAGGAUGACUGCCCUAUGGGUUGUAAACUUCUUUUAUAAAGGAAUAAAGUCGGGUAUGGAUACCCGUUUGCAUGUACUUUAUGAAUAAGGAUCGGCUAACUCCGUGCCAGCAGCCGCGGUAAUACGGAGGAUCCGAGCGUUAUCCGGAUUUAUUGGGUUUAAAGGGAGCGUAGAUGGAUGUUUAAGUCAGUUGUGAAAGUUUGCGGCUCAACCGUAAAAUUGCAGUUGAUACUGGAUAUCUUGAGUGCAGUUGAGGCAGGCGGAAUUCGUGGUGUAGCGGUGAAAUGCUUAGAUAUCACGAAGAACUCCGAUUGCGAAGGCAGCCUGCUAAGCUGCAACUGACAUUGAGGCUCGAAAGUGUGGGUAUCAAACAGGAUUAGAUACCCUGGUAGUCCACACGGUAAACGAUGAAUACUCGCUGUUUGCGAUAUACAGCAAGCGGCCAAGCGAAAGCGUUAAGUAUUCCACCUGGGGAGUACGCCGGCAACGGUGAAACUCAAAGGAAUUGACGGGGGCCCGCACAAGCGGAGGAACAUGUGGUUUAAUUCGAUGAUACGCGAGGAACCUUACCCGGGCUUAAAUUGCAGAUGAAUUACGGUGAAAGCCGUAAGCCGCAAGGCAUCUGUGAAGGUGCUGCAUGGUUGUCAUCAGCUCGUGCCGUGAGGUGUCGGCUUAAGUGCCAUAACGAGCGCAACCCUUGUUGUCAGUUACUAACAGGUUCCGCUGAGGACUCUGACAAGACUGCCAUCGUAAGAUGUGAGGAAGGUGGGGAUGACGUCAAAUCAGCACGGCCCUUACGUCCGGGGCUACACACGUGUUACAAUGGGGGGUACAGAGGGCCGCUACCACGCGAGUGGAUGCCAAUCCCAAAAACCUCUCUCAGUUCGGACUGGAGUCUGCAACCCGACUCCACGAAGCUGGAUUCGCUAGUAAUCGCGCAUCAGCCACGGCGCGGUGAAUACGUUCCCGGGCCU